GCUGGGCUUCUGGAUAAGCUGGAGUUCUGAAGAAGUAGACUUCAACGGAUGUGCUGGCUAGGCUCAGCUCCAUAGUCAUGGAUAAUUGUCCUCAUCUGAUGGUGGGAAGCAGAGGUCUGUGCUUGCAAGCUUGUGCUGUACCAGAAGUCUAAGAAGUCUGUGAAAGUCUCCCAGGAAGGACUAUUUAAUGAAAUGCGAUGUUGUGAUAAAUUCAGAAUGUUUGUUUAUUGCUUCUACAAAGAGACAUUUCUAUCUUGAGAAGAAUAAGAAAGGAAGAUAACUGAUUCAAACAGCAAAUCUUUUAUCAAAACUGGAACUGGAACCCAGCAAGGAUAACUCAGAAACACCUGCCAUGCAUAUAUAUAUAUAUCACAGCCCUGAAACACAAAACAAAUGUCAGAAAUUGCUCAGCCCAAAUGUUAAAUUGUCAAAAGAAGAGCUUUUCCUCAAUGUGUUUUAACUGCAGGGAAAGGAAAUGCAUCACUGAUCACUGGCUGCUGGCAUCAUCUCCAACUGUUAAUUACCAGUUGUUGCAGAAAUUUCAACAGCUUAGGGCUGUGAACAUCACUACAGCUUUGUAGCAGGUCCUGAAGGAUAUGGGCAACAGACAAGUUAGAGUAAUUGCAGUCUCAGAUAUCCUGAACUAGCAGGUAUAUCUGACCUAUGGCCCUUGGUCAGCAGGAGGACCAGCUGUGAAUGAAACUUCACACAAAAGUAUAAACUCACCUACAACAUUAUGAGGCACUUUUUGUGAUCUUUCUGGUAACUGGGUUGUGUAUUUCUCAGGCGUGUGCUUUGUAGAUAACAACAUUGUGUCACAUUUAAAAGGUUGGGCAUGCCUGAAAAUGUUACGAGUGACAGCUAAUAAAUCCUGUGGAAUUCUUUCUUUCACCUCUUGACG